CUAAGAUGUUGACAUUACAAGUUUAUUAAAAAGUUUAUUUAAAAAGUGCUAAUUGAUUCCUUGCUGAAAAAGAUAAACUGAGAAGCCUUUUCUUUUUUUUCGCUGAGCUAAUUGUGGAAAGACAUGAUAGAUCUUAACAUCGGAAAAAAGCCAGAAGGUCUGCUGCAUAUGGCAAAAUUUAUCAUUUGAAGGCUAAGGAGAAAAAGUUAUCAACUGGUAAUAUGGCUGAUGUUCAAUAGUGAAGAGGUGAAGCUUAGCCUUGCAAACGCAAAAUUUGAUCUUACUUUUGAGUGGCGCAAAAGUUUCUUUUUCUAGGACGAUACAAGUGUAGCUACACUUAGCUUAGGAGGAAUUGCCCAUUCUUAAGCAGAAUUGUGAAGACAAAUUGGUAAUAUUUUUUAUACAUUAAUUUUGUUUUAUUUAAUGCAUUUAUUGAAUUAAUUCUUAGAUUGUGGCAAUUUUUUCUCUCAUUUCGUUAAAAGGAAGUCCAGAGUUUUAUCUUACUAAAACAUUCCCUCAACAAAGCGAAGGUAAUAAUUACACUACCUUAAAAGAUGUUUUAAAACAUUCACGAUUAAAUAGUAUAUUAAUAUAUUUAUAUCGCAAUAUUAAUUGACGUUAUUUUCCACAGAUAAAAAGGACGCAAAUGAUUCACGCUAUUCUAGUCCCCACCAAAAGGGGAAAACAUGGUGCUACUGGAAAUUUAUAAGUCAAGUAUACAAUUCAAGAUUCGAGGGUCAAAUUUAUUAUAUACCAUAAAUAAAGUGUUAUGUGAAAGUAAGAACUGAAGAGAGCUAUCAAAGAAAACAAAUGUAAAUGUAAAAAUAAUGUAAAAAUAUGUAAAUGUAUGAUGUA